GACGUAGGGGGCGAGCGUUGUCCGGAAUUACUGGGCGUAAAGAGCACGUAGGCGGGAACCUAAGUCAGGUGUGAAAGACCGUGGCUCAACCACGGGGUGGCAUUUGAAACUGGGUUUCUUGGGGGCAGGAGAGGAAAGCAGAAUUCCUGGUGUAGCGGUGAAAUGCGUAGAAAUCAGGAGGAAUACCAGUGGCGAAGGCGGCUUUCUGGACUGUAACUGACACUGAGGCACGAAAGCGUGGGGAGCAAACAGGAUUAGAUACCCUGGUAGUCCCUGAGCGGG
rnacentral:rRNA from 1 species